UCCACUUGCACCCCUAUUCACUCACUCACUUGCACACACACACACACACAAACAUAUAUAUACACACACACAUGAUGAUGAUGAAGAAGAAGAAACAGCACCAUAAGAAGAAGAAGAAGAAUCAUGCAAUAUCAUCCAGGCACUUGGCACUUGGGCACACGUGGUAUGAAGUGAUAAUUUAUGAAGAUCUUGUGCAGAUUUGCAUCAUCAAGCUCAAGUUCAAUGUCUACUACACA
rnacentral:lncRNA from 1 species